AAGACUAUAGACCUGCGGAGUACCUGCGGAAGGAUCAUUAAUGAAUUACAAAAGUCGUUCGAUUGUGCUGGCAUAACCCUGCAUGUGCACAUCGUUCGGCAAACAUCCACACACCUUGUGCACACCUAGACCACAGAGCGGUUCGUCAGGACUUGUCUUGACUUGAGCAGUUCUGCCGGUACUUUUUCACACACGCUUGUAUGUGAUUGAAAGUCUCUAGUGCUUCAGCACUGAUAAUAA
rnacentral:misc_RNA from 1 species